rnacentral:tRNA from 1 species
GGGGGCAUAGCUCAGUGGUAGAGCAUCCGACUGCAGAUCGGAUUGUCCCCGGAUCAACCCCGGGUGCUCCCU